rnacentral:rRNA from 1 species
GAUGAACGCUGGCGGCAUGCCUAAUACAUGCAAGUCGAGCGAACAGAUGAGGAGCUUGCUCCUCUGACGUUAGCGGCGGACGGGUGAGUAACACGUGGAUAACCUACCUAUAAGACUGGGAUAACUUCGGGAAACCGGAGCUACUACCGGAUAAUAUAUUGAACCGCAUGGUUCAAUAGUGAAAGACGGUUUUGCUGUCACUUAUAGAUGGAUCCGCGCCGCAUUAGCUAGUUGGUAAGGUAACGGCUUACCAAGGCAACGAUGCGUAGCCGACCUGAGAGGGUGAUCGGCCACACUGGAACUGAGACACGGUCCAGACUCCUACGGGAGGCAGCAGUAGGGAAUCUUCCGCAAUGGGCGAAAGCCUGACGGAGCAACGCCGCGUGAGUGAUGAAGGUCUUCGGAUCGUAAAACUCUGUUAUUAGGGAAGAACAAAUGUGUAAGUAACUAUGCACGUCUUGACGGUACCUAAUCAGAAAGCCACGGCUAACUACGUG